AGAGUUUGAUCAUGGCUCAGGACGAACGCUGGCGGCGUGCUUAACACAUGCAAGUCGAACGAUGAAGCCCUUCGGGGUGGAUUAGUGGCGAACGGGUGAGUAACACGUGGGCAACCUGCCCCCGGCUCUGGGAUAACUCCAAGAAAUUGGGGCUAAUACCGGAUAUUCACUGCUGGUCGCAUGACCGGUGGUGGAAAGUUUUUCGGCUGGGGAUGGGCCCGCGGCCUAUCAGCUUGUUGGUGGGGUGAUGGCCUACCAAGGCGACGACGGGUAGCCGGCCUGAGAGGGUGACCGGCCACACUGGGACUGAGACACGGCCCAGACUCCUACGGGAGGCAGCAGUGGGGAAUAUUGCGCAAUGGGCGGAAGCCUGACGCAGCGACGCCGCGUGGGGGAUGACGGCCUUCGGGUUGUAAACCUCUUUCAGCAGGGACGAAGCGCAAGUGACGGUACCUGCAGAAGAAGCACCGGCCAACUACGUGCCAGCCGCCGCGGUAAUAC
rnacentral:rRNA from 1 species